UGAGGAAUAUUGGUCAAUGGACGCAAGUCUGAACCAGCCAAGUAGCGUGAAGGAUGACUGCCCUAUGGGUUGUAAACUUCUUUUGUCGUGGAACAAAACCUGCCACGUGUGGCAGUUUGCGUGUACACGUUGAAUAAGCAUCGGCUAACUCCGUGCCAGCAGCCGCGGUAAUACGGAGGAUGCGAGCGUUAUCCGGAUUUAUUGGGUUUAAAGGGAGCGUAGGUGGUUUAUUAAGCAAGUUGUGAAAUACUGCCGCUCAACGGCAGCCGUGCAGUUUGAACUGGUAGACUUGAGUGUACAUGAGGAAAGUGGAAUUCGUGGUGUAGCGGUGAAAUGUUUAGAUAUCACGAAGAACUCCAAUUGCGUAGGCAGCUUUCUAGGGUACAACUGACACUGAGGCUCGAAAGUGCGGGUAUCGAACAGG
rnacentral:rRNA from 2 species